GAUGAACGCUAGCUACAGGCUUAACACAUGCAAGUCGAGGGGCAGCAUUUUAGUUUGCUUGCAAACUAAAGAUGGCGACCGGCGCACGGGUGAGUAACACGUAUCCAACCUGCCGAUAACUCGGGGAUAGCCUUUCGAAAGAAAGAUUAAUAUCCGAUGGUAUAUUAAAACCGCAUGGUUUUACUAUUAAAGAAUUUCGGUUAUCGAUGGGGAUGCGUUCCAUUAGUUUGUUGGCGGGGUAACGGCCCACCAAGACUACGAUGGAUAGGGGUUCUGAGAGGAAGGUCCCCCACAUUGGAACUGAGACACGGUCCAAACUCCUACGGGAGGCAGCAGUGAGGAAUAUUGGUCAAUGGACGAGAGUCUGAACCAGCCAAGUAGCGUGAAGGAUGACUGCCCUAUGGGUUGUAAACUUCUUUUAUAUGGGAAUAAAGUAUUCCACGUGUGGGAUUUUGUAUGUACCAUAUGAAUAAGGAUCGGCUAACUCCGUGCCAGCAGCCGCGGUAAUACGGAGGAUCCGAGCGUUAUCCGGAUUUAUUGGGUUUAAAGGGAGCGUAGGUGGAUUGUUAAGUCAGUUGUGAAAGUUUGCGGCUCAACCGUAAAAUUGCAGUUGAAACUGGCAGUCUUGAGUACAGUAGAGGUGGGCGGAAUUCGUGGUGUAGCGGUGAAAUGCUUAGAAAUCACGAAGAACUCCGAUUGCGAAGGCAGCUCACUAGACUGCAACUGACACUGAUGCUCGAAAGUGUGGGUAUCAAACAGGAUUAGAUACCCUGGUAGUCCACACAGUAAACGAUGAAUACUCGCUGUUUGCGAUAUACAGUAAGCGGCCAAGCGAAAGCAUUAAGUAUUCCACCUGGGGAGUACGCCGGCAACGGUGAAACUCAAAGGAAUUGACGGGGGCCCGCACAAGCGGAGGAACAUGUGGUUUAAUUCGAUGAUACGCGAGGAACCUUACCCGGGCUUAAAUUGCAUUUGAAUAAUCUGGAAACAGGUUAGCCGUAAGGCAAAUGUGAAGGUGCUGCAUGGUUGUCGUCAGCUCGUGCCGUGAGGUGUCGGCUUAAGUGCCAUAACGAGCGCAACCCUUAUCUUUAGUUACUAACAGGUCAUGCUGAGGACUCUAGAGAGACUGCCGUCGUAAGAUGUGAGGAAGGUGGGGAUGACGUCAAAUCAGCACGGCCCUUACGUCCGGGGCUACACACGUGUUACAAUGGGGGGUACAGAAGGCAGCUACCUGGUGACAGGAUGCUAAUCCCAAAAACCUCUCUCAGUUCGGAUCGAAGUCUGCAACCCGACUUCGUGAAGCUGGAUUCGCUAGUAAUCGCGCAUCAGCCAUGGCGCGGUGAAUACGUUCCCGGGCCU
rnacentral:rRNA from 1 species